rnacentral:rRNA from 1 species
UACGAAGGGUGCAAACGUUGCUCGGAAUUACUGGGCGUAAAGGGCUCGUAGGCGGCCAACUAAGUCCGACGUGAAAUCCCAAAGCUUAACUUUGGAACUGCGUCGGAUACUGGAUGGCUUGAAUUCGGGAGAGGGAUGCAGAAUUCCAGGUGUAGCGGUGAAAUGCGUAGAUAUCUGGAGGAAUACCGGUGGCGAAGGCGGCAUCCUGGACCGACAUUGACGCUGAGGAGCGAAAGCUAGGGGAGCAAACGGG